UACGAAGGGGGCUAGCGUUGCUCGGAAUCACUGGGCGUAAAGCGCACGUAGGCGGCUUUUUAAGUCAGAGGUGAAAUCCUGGAGCUCAACUCUAGAACUGCCUUUGAUACUGGAGAGCUUGAGUCCGGGAGAGGUGAGUGGAACUGCGAGUGUAGAGGUGAAAUUCGUAGAUAUUCGCAAGAACACCAGUGGCGAAGGCGGCUCACUGGCCCGGUACUGACGCUGAGGUGCGAAAGCGUGGGGAGCAAACAGG
rnacentral:rRNA from 1 species